rnacentral:rRNA from 1 species
AAUAUUGCACAAUGGGGGAAACCCUGAUGCAGCCAUGCCGCGUGAGUGAAGAAGGCCCUAGGGUUGUAAAGCUCUUUCAAUAGUGAAGAUAAUGACGGUAGCUAUAGAAGAAGCUCCGGCUAAAUUCGUGCCAGCAGCCGCGGUAAUACGAAUGGAGCAAGCGUUGUUCGGAACCACUGGGCUUAAAGCGUAUGUAGGCGGACUAGCAAGUCAGGAGUGAAAUCCCAGGGCUCAACCCUGGAACUGCUCUUGAAACUGCAAGUCUAGAAUACUGGAGAGGUCGGGAGAAUUCCUAGUGUAGAGGUGAAAUUCGCAGAUAUUAGGAGGAAUAUAAGUGGCGUAGGCGCCCGACUGGACAGUUAUUGACGCUCAGAUACGAAAGCGUGGGGAGCAAACAGGAUUAGAUACCCUGGUAGUCCACGCCGUA